rnacentral:lncRNA from 1 species
AAAUAUUCAAAUCCCAAAUCCAUGGUACAGUGCAGUUCUGAUCAUGAAACGGUAGAAACUAGCGAGCGUGCACCAAGAGAGGAGGGAGACGGUCUAGGACUGCAACUAACAUAAGGAGAGUGUUCCAGGGUUGCCUAAGCGUACGCUGCUGCUUAUGCAGGCCAGCUACUGAAAUCCAACCUUGAUAGCUUCAAAUCAGUAAGAUAUAGUACUGGGAGUUUAUACUACUGAGGCAAUGUAUCGACAAGAAUACAAACCAUGACAAGCUUGCUAAUAUUAUCCGUCUCUGCUUGAAG